ACGCACGCUGGCGGCGUGCUUCACACCUGCAAGUCGAACGGUGAAGCUCCAGCUUGCUGGAGUGGAUCAGUGGCGAACGGGUGAGUAACACGUGAGCAACCUGCCCCUGACUCUGGAAUAAGCGCUGGAAACGGCGUCUAAUACUGGAUACGAGAAGGGUCCGCAUGGGCACUUUCUGGAAAGUUUUUCGGUUGGGGAUGGGCUCGCGGCCUAUCAGCUUGUUGGUGAGGUAAUGGCUCACCAAGGCGACGACGGGUAGCCGGCCUGAGAGGGCGACCGGCCACACUGGGACUGAGACACGGCCCAGACUCCUACGGGAGGCAGCAGUGGGGAAUAUUGCACAAUGGGCGAAAGCCUGAUGCAGCGACGCCGCGUGAGGGAUGACGGCCUUCGGGUUGUAAACCUCUUUCAGCAGGGAAGAAGCGAAAGUGACGGUACCUGCAGAAGAAGCACCGGCUAACUACGUG
rnacentral:rRNA from 1 species